UCUCUCCCUUCAUCUCCUCACCUCCUCUCCCCUCCCAAAAUACUAGCCUUUGAGAGUCUAUAUAUGUUAAUUUUGUAGAUGAAGACCAAAACGUAAAUAGUGCACACUUGACUACUGGACAUCACUAAAUGGGUCACUUCUGAGGAACGGAGAUCCUUUGACCAGUGAAAAGAGCUAAUGUCAGACAGGGAGUCAUUCACCACAACAUCCUCCUUUUAUUUAACAUGUAAUAGUGGUGAAAGAAACCAUUUAAGGCAGGUCUACAUUGGCAAUGAAAAAUAAAUCAAGCAGUUCUCUGGAAAAAUCAGCAGCUAUUUCUCUUUAGUUUGUUAGCAGACAACAUUUUUUGAAAACUGAAGUAUUUGACAUAUUUAGACUAUGUAGAUAUGAUGUAGAGCUUUUACUUACAAGCCAGAAAAGACAGCUAAAAAAAUACGACCUCCGUAUUUCUGGAAAAAAAAUGCACAGAUUGAAAUGAUUCAAACCGUGAGCCAUUUUAACUAAAGGCGUUAUUGCACUGCUUCUGAUCUUUUGGGGCUAGAUGUUGAGUAAGCAGUUUACAGUUACUUUUGUACCACGGCCUAUGUAGGUGACGCUGUGACAUAAUGCGCUGACAUAAUAAAAGACAAUCACUCUGGUGAGCUUUUAAAAGCAGCAGACACAGAAGUCAACAUUGAGUUUUCACAUAAGCUAUGUAUAGACAGGUCAUAAAUACAUUUAGUGAGCUGGUUGGGCAGCAUAAUGCUUUAUCUGAAUACUAUUUAAUAAGCUAGGGACUUCAUUUUUUGAGAAAACAGGUAGGAAUACAGUAUUAGUUAAGCUGUAACUAAAUAGUAACAAGAUCAAAACUGUCAUGCAAUUAUGCUUUAGAACAUGGAUUAUUUUUUAAGUAUCAUAAUACUCUGAAUGAAACCCCAAACUAAAUAAUGUGUUAUAUGAAAGCUUUCAUAAAAUUACUAGCCCAAAACAGCAAAAACAAAAUAAAAAACAAACAAAAAUGCUUAUUAAAAUUAAAAUCAAACUAUUAUUUUCAGCUUACCAAUGAUGAAUAUUGGAUACUUUAAAGGUGAAAUUUUAGCAUAUUUUGGAUGUUCCUUUGUGGUGUCAAUGGACAAUCUACCCAAAGUAAGUCUGUCUUUCCAGGGUUACAGUUAAUUUCCUCCCUCUGGUUGAACAGUGAUCAGCCUGAUUUGGUUGGAGUAGUUGCAUUUAGUCAGUGUAAGGACUAGAGGUGCUGCAUUAUAUGUAGUCCUUGGUCAUCACCAAUAAGAAAUAAGGGCUCUAGCUAAAUGUUUGUGACUUGGCAUUAUAAAUAAAUUGAAAUAGAAAGUGAGCCCCCUCCUCUGUUACUUUUCUUGGUCACUAAGAUUUGAACAUCAAAAAAAAAAAAAAAAAAAGGGAAAACAAGACUCUGAUGAAAUCCAAUGCUGGUCCAUACUCUAGAUUCUAAAAACACAAUUUAAUGAAGAAUUUUUUAAUAUUGAAAGUUUUUGCUCUCCUUUCAGAGUUUAAUCUGGCCAAUAGCCAAUUACAAUAAUUCUGGAACAAAAUUUGAUUAUGAAUUACUUUAUGAAAUAGAUCCUUAGGUUUACAAAUAUUUAAAGCAUAAAAAUGGAACAGUAUAUUGAACAUUUACAUGGACUAAGUGUGUUUAAAUUUGUAGUAAUAUGGAUGGUAAUACCUAUAAAGUCUUAGUAAUUACAGGAAGGUGAUUUUUCUCUAGGGGAAAUUGACAUUUGUCUACUAAACAUUAAAAAUCUAAGGCUGUUAGGCAAAAACCUGCAUUACAUAAGUUUUCAUAGCAUAUUAUUUGUCCAAAUAAGGUCAAACCUCUUUUUAAAGCCACAUGAAAUGGCUUUGUAUAUUAUACAGGUAUAUAUAAAUUAGCAAAUAAAAUGCUAUCUAUUUUAAGGUAACGGUGAGUAAAAAAAAUCUACAUUUAUACUGACACACACAUUUAAUAUUUUGACUGCCUGGAAGCCACAGAAGAAUUUUAGAAGACUAAGUAACACAUAAAUGUGAGCUGAAUGCUUUCUUUUGGAAUAUUUAUUUAUUUAUUUAUUUUUGUCUUUUCUAGGGCCACACCCACUGCAUAUGGAGGUUCCCAGGCUAGGGGUCUAAUCGGAGCUGUAGUCAACGGCCUGCGCCAGAGCCACAGCAAUUUGGGAUCCAAGCUGUGUCUGCGACCUACACCACAGCUCACAGCAAUGCCAGAUCCUUAACCCACUGAGCAAGGCCAGGGAUCGAACCCACAACCUCAUGACAUAUCAAUUUCAAAUGACCACCUAAAGGUAUUUUUACAUAAAAAAUUAAAAAACUCCUAAUUCAAAUAUGAAUUAUUUCUCAUUGGAUGUAAAAUUAAGUACAAUUUUUCAAUAUGGGCAUCUUUCUACCCCUAGUAUCUUCUGCUAAAGUUUUGUUUAAAUUGCCAUCAUGAUUUUGGCCAAGAACCCUAUAAAACUACCAUCCUAAUAUUAGUUUUCCCUGAUUAAAAUGUUUGUUACCAUUGAAAAUGAUUAAAAGGGUAAGGUUGGUACUUUCCUUUUGUAGACUGUCUGGAAAACAGACAGACUAAUCAGUUACAUACAAAAUUUAGUGAAAGUUUGCAUUUAGAAUGAUAUCUUAGGAUAAUUUAGUGAACUGGACACCACUUUUCUCAUCGACUUCAUUAUUUAUCUUCGAAGUUCAAGAAAUGAAUAAAGGCUUUAAAAUUAUUGUUCUUUUGUUAAUAGUGGGAGAAAAAUAUCGUGUCAUUGCUUUGUUGGUUAAAUCAUAUGAUGACACGGUGUAGAGACUGUUCCUUUGUUAUCAGGCUUCUCUAAGGUUUUUGACCACCUGGAUAGUCUCUUGCUACACUUGGCUUUGGGCUCCAAGUUGCUACUGCUAAUGGCUCAUUUGGUCCUGCCCUUGACUUGACAGUGAAGUCCUGUAUAUACAGUUAGGCCCUAGGGAAGAAUUGCUAGUGGAUACUGCAGAUAGGAGAGGAAUGAAAAAUCUUGAUGACAAGAUCUGAGAUUUGAUCCAAAAAAAUCUGUUUCCAAACCAAGAUGAUGAAACUUGGAUAGAAAGUUGAAGGGAGUGAGAGAGAAGACCAAGUCACUUCUGCAAAUGGUCUCCACUGCAUCCCAGGGCACAGAAGAUAAUAGUAGUAAGUCGUCCAACAAUUCCCCCCUUUAAGCCUGUUCUUUCACUUGUCCUCACUUCUUCAAACAAAACAAAGCAAGGCAGCUGGCAUACAAGCAACAAUAUAAAACAGAAAAGCUUUCAAAUUGAAAGCAAGGCGCUAAGAACAGACGUAGUCAUUAUGCAGUUAAAUGAAAGGUUAUUAAAAAUGCUUCAGUGUGCUAAUGGUACCUUAUAUUUGCUUAACAAACCUAUUUUAUACAUUCACUGUUGAAUUUUUAAUGGUUUAAUAUCAUACCUCUUUAAAAUUGUAUAAGUUUGAAACUUGGCUGUUGUAUGACAAAACCUAGUGUUUUGUAAGUUGCAGGUUUUUCUUUUUCUUUCUUUGGCUUUGAAAUAAAUAGGAAGAUUUUUGCAAAUUCUUUAGUGAGAUUUUUGUAGUAUGUACAUAUUCGUUAAUUCUGGUGAGAGUAUUUUGUUGGAUAAGUAAUUUGGAUAAUAUUAGUACAUAUUACUUUCUGUGUAUCUGUUUUCUUUACAAAAAUCCUCCUAAUUUCAGUUAAACAUUAUGAUGUGAGUAUAAUCUGUAGGUUAAAGUUAUAGCCUAACCCAUGUGCUGCAAAUAAGAAUGUUAGAAGCAUCUUGGUUUAAAGAUGGCAGAAAUCUGGCUGUAAUAGCAUUUCUGGCUAGUACUCACAGAUAUGGUUUGGAAGUUUAGAAACCACCUGCUUCUUCACCAGGGUCAAUUCAAGGGUAUUUCACGUUCUACUUGUAAUCUUCAAGGGGAAUGAAGACUGAGGGUUUAUCCUUACAGAUCUGUGAUUCUUAAAAAAAAAAAAAAAAAAAAAAAUCAUUGUUUUGCGUUCUCUUCUGCCUUUACACUAAUGGCAGAAAGGUCAAAAUAGCAUUUACUACUGUGUAUCCAGACUACAGACUAGAACACUGUUAAAUAUUUAGUUAGACUUGAGAUUUUGUUUUGAUUUGGAGGUAGCUUGGUAGGAAUAUUUUGAAAGCACUGUUCAGAAGGCAGUAAGAGUUUUAUCAGAUGUUUUGGAAUAUGAAAAAGCAAACUGAGAGGUGAUCGCUGGAAAAAAUAUCUGGGACAUAGUUGUGAUUUUUAACUAUAUGCACAGGUGGAACAUGUUUACGAAUUUUUUAAGUCCUCCUUACUAUAGCCUUUCCACUGGCCUCUCAAACUUACCACUAGAGGGCGCGCAACAUAGAGACUAAGAAGCAGGAUGGCUGGCUCCUGACAUCCUUUCUGAGUCUGUGCAUUUACCUCUUUCUUUAGCCGCUGUUCUGUGUCUAUUUCCCUGAGUCUUAUUCUGAAAGCCUAUUUUUAUGUUUGGCAUUGAAUUUGAAAUCUUUUUAGGUUGAAAUGGAGCAAAAAUAACUAAAAGGAAAACUAUUCAGUUAUAUCACUUGCUACCAUUGCCCACAGUGGAUAAAUAAACUACUGUGUUCAGAUCGGCAAUAAGCUUUCCUUACAUCAACAAGUAGUGAUGGCUUCUAUCAUAACAUAGGCUAUGGGUUUAAAUAAAUCAAACAAAACAGUUAUGGGACUAUAAAAACAAUUAUUUUCUACAUCAUUUUUGCUAGAAUCCUAUGUCCUUUAGUGGAACUGGGUAAUGUCUACAUUGAAAUAAAUUGUCC
rnacentral:lncRNA from 1 species